rnacentral:rRNA from 1 species
AUGAACGCUAGCUACAGGCUUAACACAUGCAAGUCGAGGGGCAGCAUUUUAGUUUGCUUGCAAACUGAAGAUGGCGACCGGCGCACGGGUGAGUAACACGUAUCCAACCUGCCGAUAACUCGGGGAUAGCCUUUCGAAAGAAAGAUUAAUAUCCGAUAGUAUAUUAAAACCGCAUGGUUUUACUAUUAAAGAAUUUCGGUUAUCGAUGGGGAUGCGUUCCAUUAGUUUGUUGGCGGGGUAACGGCCCACCAAGACUACGAUGGAUAGGGGUUCUGAGAGGAAGGUCCCCCACAUUGGAACUGAGACACGGUCCAAACUCCUACGGGAGGCAGCAGUGAGGAAUAUUGGUCAAUGGACGAGAGUCUGAACCAGCCAAGUAGCGUGAAGGAUGACUGCCCUAUGGGUUGUAAACUUCUUUUAUAUGGGAAUAAAGUAUUCCACGUGUGGGAUUUUGUAUGUACCAUAUGAAUAAGGAUCGGCUAACUCCGUGCCAGCAGCCGCGGUAAUACGGAGGAUCCGAGCGUUAUCCGGAUUUAUUGGGUUUAAAGGGAGCGUAGGUGGAUUGUUAAGUCAGUUGUGAAAGUUUGCGGCUCAACCGUAAAAUUGCAGUUGAAACUGGCAGUCUUGAGUACAGUAGAGGUGGGCGGAAUUCGUGGUGUAGCGGUGAAAUGCUUAGAUAUCACGAAGAACUCCGAUUGCGAAGGCAGCUCACUAGACUGCAACUGACACUGAUGCUCGAAAGUGUGGGUAUCAAACAGGAUUAGAUACCCUGGUAGUCCACACAGUAAACGAUGAAUACUAGCUGUUUGCGAUUUACAGUAAGCGGCCAAGCGAAAGCAUUAAGUAUUCCACCUGGGGAGUACGCCGGCAACGGUGAAACUCAAAGGAAUUGACGGGGGCCCGCACAAGCGGAGGAACAUGUGGUUUAAUUCGAUGAUACGCGAGGAACCUUACCCGGGCUUAAAUUGCAAAUGAAUAAUCUGGAAACAGGUUAGCCGAAAGGCAUUUGUGAAGGUGCUGCAUGGUUGUCGUCAGCUCGUGCCGUGAGGUGUCGGCUUAAGUGCCAUAACGAGCGCAACCCUUAUCUUUAGUUACUAACAGGUCAUGCUGAGGACUCUAGAGAGACUGCCGUCGUAAGAUGUGAGGAAGGUGGGGAUGACGUCAAAUCAGCACGGCCCUUACGUCCGGGGCUACACACGUGUUACAAUGGGGGGUACAGAAGGCAGCUACCUGGCGACAGGAUGCUAAUCCCAAAAACCUCUCUCAGUUCGGAUCGAAGUCUGCAACCCGACUUCGUGAAGCUGGAUUCGCUAGUAAUCGCGCAUCAGCCAUGGCGCGGUGAAUACGUUCCCGGGCCUUGUACACACCGCCCGUCAAGCCAUGAAAGCCGGGGGUACCUGAAGUACGUAACCGCAAGGAGCGUCCUAGGGUAAAACUGGUAAUUGGGGCU